CGGAGCAAAACAAACCCCCCCCCGAAGUUCCCGGGAUGAGCGGCCGCAGCCGGCCGGGCCUGCGGCGUCCAUGACAGGAGGAGCCGGCACCGGGAGAUUCCCACGGAUCCGGAUCCGGCGCUCGGGUGCUCCCUGCUCCGGAGGGCCCCGGGGGGGCUCCGGGAUCGGUGACCCCGGGGGGGCUCCGGGCAACCAUGAGUGAGGUUUUGGUGGUCAAAGAGGGGUGGCUGCACAAGAGGGGUGAGUGGGGCUGGGAUCUGGGAUUUGGGGUU